UAGAAAAUAGUUUUCUUACGUGUUGACUACAAAAAACUAAUACAAACGGUAAGUAAAUGUAAAUUACUGUAUUUAAAUCAGCUAAAGAUGAUGUUAUUUUACAGGGAUCUGCUGGUAAUUUUACAGUAUUCCACAGUUUUUACCGUAUUUGUCAGACACUCUUUCUACCAGAUUUUUAAAGUUUGUAAAAGAUGGAAAAGGAUCUAGGAAGAUCAGUGAGCAACUAAAAACCAGUGAUCAGGAGGUCUAGGAGGAGUCAUAGUACCACUAAUCAGGAGGUCUAGGAGGAGUCAUAGUUCUACUAAUCAGGAGGUCUAGAAGGAGUCAUAGUACCACUAAUCAGGAGGUCUAGGAGGAGUCAUAGUACCACUAAUCAGGAGGUCUAGAAGGAGUCAUAGUUCCACUAAUCAGGAGGUCUAGAAGGAGUCGUAGUUCCACUAAUCAGGAGGUCUAGAAGGAGUCGUAGUACCACUAAUCAGGAGGUCUAGAAGGAGUCGUAGUACCACUAAUCAGGAGGUCUAGAAGGAGUCAUAGUUCCACUAAUCGGAGCCCCUAAAAUGAUUCUACAGACAGUGAACUACUUCCCCAAUCGAGCUGUGAAAACAGACUUCAGCUGCUUCAGACUUCUAGGGUCAUCACUGGAAACCAGAGUUCGUAUGAAGCUCAUGUAUCUGCUGGUGUUUUUCAGGCCCUCUUGUUGCCAGAUUUUAAAACUUUUCUGCAAAAUGUUUUAUUUACACUGCAGUGAAAGUUUCUGAUCCACAGAAGAACACAAAAAAAGUGGAACCAUCAACAGGUCUGGGGGUGAAGAGCCGGACAGAGCAUCUUGUGUUUGGGCUCUGGUUGACUCCUGGGUGAACCUGAGCUGCAGCUCCUCCCUGUGCGGUCGAAGCCCAACGCUGGAACUCGAAGACUUUCUGAUCUCCAAACAUUUUCAGACGAUCUGCGCCUCUUCGCUCCAAAACGUAAACAGUGACAACACGCGAAUAUGCAAUUUCCUCUCCUGUGUUUGCCCUCCGUUAGGAUGAAAUUUACACACGGCUGACGUACAGGAAGCGCUCGCUGCAGCUCUGCUAGCUUGUGUUAUCUGCUGUCACUGUUGUGGGAGGCUGAUUUACGAUGGCUGGCGCAUAAUGAGUGUUAAUUUAAUGAAUGAGCCAUGAUGAAGGGGCCCCAAGUGCAUCAGCAUUCGGAGAAACUGUCCAGUUAAAGGGGCAGGGGGGUUAUAAAUGCUUUUAAACUGCCGGCUGUCGUAAGCAUGUGUGUGUUUUAGUUUGUUUGUGUGUCUUGGUGCUCCCUCCAUGUGACUGAGCUCAUGUCACGUGGACCAAGUGACUCCGGAGGGGCGAUCUGUGGCGUCACGGCAGCUCUUCCUUUUGUCUUCCCCCCUCCUCAGAGAGUCCUGACGCAGAGUCCCAGUCAGCACUGAUACAGCAGACAUCGCAUGCAGUAACUCACCGCAGAAAAAGUGGCGAAACUCUGACGAAUGAAAACUGGAGUCUCUGGGGAAACUACUGCGCUCGCCGAGGAAUGCAGCUCCACUUUCACUCUGCCGCUUUUAUUCUGAAAAGCGUCUGUGCAGGGUCAGUGGAGCAGCCAGCCGGUAAAAAUAAAUCACUGUUUACACACACGUCUGCUGUUUGUACAGAAUAGAAGAGAACAGUCCUGAGAACAUCACCUGAACGUCAAACGACUCAGACUCCCCAGCAGUGAUCAGAUUAGCUUCCAGUUAAACAGGAAAGUAUUUAAUCUCAACAGUUUAGACUCACUU